AGAUCAUUACCACUUACGAGCCCCGAGCAAAUAAAUGAUUUCGAGGCCAUACCGGACGACGAGUACAAGAAUGUGGUCAGAUACUUGGGGUCGCUCGGUGGCCACACAUUAGUUGAAACGGCUAACGAGAUUUUGAAGAACGCCAUGGAAGAUUCGGUAUCGCCGGCUUUGACCUGGCUCGGCCGAAAACCAAAUGAGAUAGCUCUUGGCAAAACAAGAUUUGCCAAAGCCCUUUAUGCGGCAGUUGCGAGGAAUAGAAAUUAUCCGAAACCAGAUUGGUCCCAAUUCACCGACGCAAUGACUAACGCGCUCAGGAGUUCGAAG